rnacentral:lncRNA from 1 species
UGCUAGGAAUAUGGAUAUCUACAGUAGAAUAAAUGAGCUGUUCCAUAAAUUAGAUCAUCUUCUGGCUAUUAGAUACUCUUUCUCUUCAUCUUUUCUUCUUGUACAAUAAGUUGAAUGCCCAAUCAUGUAUUAAUUUUCUGAGUUUAUGUAUGAGCAAGUUCAUUGAGAUCAAACUCAAAUAGCUGACAGACUAGAAAAUAACUCAUACAUUAAUGCCUACAAUCCAGGCUGGAGGGUUCAAUAAAUUUUUUUGUGAAAAUCACAACCAAUGGUUACCCCAAUAUUACAAGAAUCUACAUUCGU